AUGGAUGAUUGCAGUGACGAUCUUCUAAAUUUGAAAGAUAAAUGGAUGUUCCUAGUUCUCACCUAUGAACUUGUGCAGAAGAGCAAGGCCAAGAAAGACUCCAACAAUCCCAAGCGCCCCCCUGAGCGUUGCCUUAGUCCUCAUGUUUGCAAGGUCGGUGGUGAGAAGUGGAAGGGGACGCGACACGCCAAGCAGCAGCAAGGGGAGGGGGUCUCUAAAAUGUUGCCGAUGUCGCCCAUUGCUAGUAUCACCGAUUGA
rnacentral:rRNA from 1 species